rnacentral:rRNA from 1 species
GAUGAACGCUGGCGGCGUGCCUAAUACAUGCAAGUCGAGCGAACGCACGGUAAGCUUUCUCUCCUGCUGUUAGCGGCGGACGGGCGAGUAACACGUGGAUCACCUACCUAUAAGACUGGGAUAACUUCGGAAAAACGGAGCUGAUACCGGAUAAUAUUUUGUACCGCAUGGUUCAAAAGAGAAAGACGGUCUUCCUGUCACUUAUAGAUGGAUCCGGGGUGUAUUAGCUAGUUGGUAAGGUAACGGCUUACCAAGGCAACGAUGCGUAGCCGACCUGAGAGGAUGAUCGGCCACACUGGAACUGAGACACGGUCCAGACUCCUACGGGAGGCAGCAGUAGGGAAUCUUCGACAAUGGGCGAAAGCCUGACGCAGCAACGCCGCGUGAGUGAAGAAGGUCUUCGGAUCGUAAAACUCUGUUAUUAGGGAAGAACAGAUGUGUGAGUAAAUGUGGACGUCCUGACGGUACCUAAUGAGAAAGCAACGGCUAACUACGUG